rnacentral:rRNA from 1 species
AGUGAACGCUGGCGGUAGGCCUAACACAUGCAAGUCGAACGGCAGCACAGUAAGAGCUUGCUCUUACGGGUGGCGAGUGGCGGACGGGUGAGGAAUACAUCGGAAUCUACUUUUUCGUGGGGGAUAACGUAGGGAAACUUACGCUAAUACCGCAUACGACCUACGGGUUAAAGCAGGGGAUCUUCGGACCUUGCGCGAUUGAAUGAGCCGAUGUCGGAUUAGCUAGUUGGCGGGGUAAAGGCCCACCAAGGCGACGAUCCGUAGCUGGUUUGAGAGGAUGAUCAGCCACACUGGAACUGAGACACGGUCCAGACUCCUACGGGAGGCAGCAGUGGGGAAUAUUGGACAAUGGGCGCAAGCCUGAUCCAGCCAUACCGCGUGGGUGAAGAAGGCCUUCGGGUUGUAAAGCCCUUUUGUUGGGAAAGAAAAGCAGCAGGUUAAUACCCCGCUGUUCUGACGGUACCCAAAGAAUAAGCACCGGCUAACUUCGUG